UGUAGACUUCUUAUAGUAAUGGGAAAAACCAACUUCACUGCUGCUAAGCAUAAGCAGCAGUCCGUGAUCUUAGUGGAUAUUGAGACUCCAGGUGUACGCAUAAAGAGGCCACUCAUGGUCUUUGGCUUUGAUGAUGCACCUCAUGGUCAUGCUGAAAUUUCAUUUGAAAAUGUAUGUGUGCCUGCAAAGAAUAUCCUAUUGGGAGAAGGACGUGGAUUUGAGAUUGCCCAGGGUAGACUGGGCCCAGGAAGAUUGCACCAUUGCAUGAGAUUGGUAGGUGCUGCUGAGCGUGGAAUGCAAUUGNCUCAGUAGAAGAGCAUUUGGUAAAUUGAUCGCUGAACAUGGUUCAUUUCGUUCAGAUAUUGCCAAGUGUCGAGUAGAGCUGGAGAAAACCAGAUUAUUGGUUUUGGAGGCAGCCAAUCAGCUUGAUCGGUUUGGGAAUAAAAAUGCCCGUGGAACUAUUGCAAUGGCCAAGGUAGCAGCUCCAAACAUGGCACUAAUGGUGCUGGACAUGGCAAUGCAAGUACAUGGUGCCGCUGGUCUAUCAUCUGACACCGUUUUAUCACAUCUUUGGGCUACAGCAAGAACAUUGAGAAUUGCAGAUGGUCCAGAUGAAGUCCACUUGGGAGCCAUUGCCAACUUGGAAUUAAAGAGAGCUAAACUCUGAAAGCUUUGGGG
rnacentral:misc_RNA from 1 species